AAUCAUGUCAGGGAAACAGUUAGGAACCAUGUACAGUAUUGCACACUUAAAACCAGUAAAAGAGCCACCAACAUUAGCUGCUGAAAGCACAUCAGAGGGAAAAAUUGGAACUGAAAUUGGAGUUGGUGACACUGAACCAGAAACACCCACGGAAGAGAUUAGAAGAGUGGAUGGCACUAUAUCUCACGACAGCAAAGUGGAAAACAUAGAGGUCACAGCAAUGGAAAAAGAGGAAUAUAUAGGGCAAGAUGUGUCAAACAAUGAUACAAGUGAUGCUGAUGACAAUUUUGAUGACAUGCUUACGGAGGAAGUGGAAGACAAGCAAUAGCUUCUGAAAGUCAAAUUGGUAAUGACCAGCAAACACACAGAGGGACUGGAGGCCAAAGUGAGAAACGUAAAAUUGUAUGGCUCUUCAUUUCAUUGCCUGAAGCCGAGAAGCUGGAUAAGUGAUGAGGUACAUUUAAGUUCCACUAAACAUGUAUUUGUUGAUGUGAUUGAUUACUCAAAUACCAUUGUAAUUGUGCUUUUCUUCCAUCAUGUGUUGUAGGUUAUUGAUGAAUAUUUGAGCUGUGUAGUUGAGAAAGCAGACGGAAAGGUAGGCUAGUUACUGUGAUACAUGACACAAUACACUGAUGCGCUAAGUAAACAAUCAUGGGAAUAUGUGUCACAAUAUAUUUCAGUCCAAAUACCCUUGAAAUAUCAACAGACACCUGAAAUGUCAACAUUUCUGUGUAUUUACUGCUGCCAAACAUUUCCUAAAAUGUAUUUGGAGGUGCAUAUCGGACAUACAAUAGAGGGCCACAUUAGUUCUGCUGUACAGUUCAGUGGGUCCAUUAAUUGAACACAAGUAUGCGAACAGCUUAGUCACUUUUUAAAGGCAGUAAGACAGAGCACAUUGAUUACAAAUCAUUUUGUUUUUAUAAGAUUUUCUUACAUAUACGUAUCUGAUUUGUAACACUAAGGAUCCGUUUCAUGUCUGUCUAUAUUAAAAUCAUUAUGUUCUUGACGUGCCACAAUUAUUAAUGCAUUAAUAGCUUUGUUGACUGUCAACAGGUACAAGCCAUCUCAUCAGUAGUUUCCACUGUCAUUCUCUCAGGCAGAGCUACACAAAUGAAAGUGAAGGUAAAUGUUAACACGCUUUCAUACAUAAAAUGAGAAAAGAACAAUUUCAGUCAGUGAGUUAAACACAGUGUGAAACAGCAAAUACAAUGACAUGUUUGAUGUGGGGGAGUAGUCUAACAGUAAUACAUGUAAUGAAUUUGGGAAAUACGGUAUAAUGUAUAUUUCAUGGUUUGCUGCACUGAAAACUAUAAUUACAUUUCUAAUUUUUUUUAAAUAAAUACAGAGUGAAUUACUUCAAAAUGAUAUAUUAUUGCUUCCUUACCACACACCAGGUCAUUGGGUUCUUGCGAUAGCCUUGAUGGAAAAAAAAAAAAAAAGGAAUUGUUAAUAAUUGACCCCUUGUGCGAUGAGAUCAGAUAUGAAAGAACAUGCCUGAGGAAUUGGAGAAACUUCAUCAAACGAUUAACUAGUGAAUCCUCAUCUGAUUGGAACAGUAAAAUUGUGCAGCAUCCCAGACAGUGACGGCUACA